AGUCAGACGUCAUUUCCGCGCCCGGAGCGGCGGCUCCGCUCUCUGGGGGGGCGCCGGGCCUGGGGGAAAGGCGGCGGCGGCGGCAGCCGCGGGGGGGCGAGGGAGGCCGGCCGGAUCCCCCCGCGCCCCCGCCGCGGUGCCGGCCUCAGCCCGGGCGGCCUCCUGCCCGGCCAGAGAGCGGGGCGGCGCGGACAGCGGCAGCCAUGAGCGUGGCGGAGCGGCCUGAGGGGAAGGAGGAGGAGGAGGAGGAGGAGGCGGCGGCGGGCGGCCCCGGGCGCUCGCUGGGCCCUAGUGAUGCAUCUCCAGAUGAAGGAGUAGUAGAAGAUCUGCCUUUAAUAGAUGAGAAAGCUGUGGAUCAGCUAACUGAAGGAUUGAUUUCUCAUUAUCUGCCUGAUCUUCAGCGAUCAAAAUCAGCACUACAGGAACUUACACAGAACCAAGUGGUAUUACUAGAAACAUUGGAACAAGAAAUUUCAAAAUUCAAAGAGUGUAACUCCAUUCUUGAUAUCAAUGCUUUGUUUUCAGAAGCUAAACAUUAUCACAACAAGUUAGUGAAUAUUAGAAAUGAAAUGAUGAUGCUCCAUGAGAAGACAUCAAAGUUAAAAAAAAGAGCACUUAAGCUGCAACAAAAGAGGCAGAAGGAAGAACUAGAACGAGAACAGCAACGUGAGAAGGAACUUGAAAGAGAGAAGCAGCUAACAGCAAAACCUGCUAGGAGAACGUGAAAGCAGAGCAUGCAACAACUUGCCUGAAUUAAUCAUUUCUGCAUUCUCUGGAAUUAAGGCAGACUUUGCUUAAACUGGGUUAUAGCUGUUACUAGCAACAGUCUAUGAUAAUAUAAAUUCCAGAAUAGUAAUAAAAGGGUUGGUAACAUUCAAAUUUUUUAAUUUCAGUCAUUCAAGUUGCCUUCUUUUGUAAUUCUAUGCAGUUUGAUAUUAUUAUAAUGUAAGUUCUUUCUUUUAUGUAUAUAUAUAUAUAUGUAUGUAUAUAGGAGAACUUAGGCAUCACAGUUUUAAAUACCUAUCAAUUUUUUCAUCUAUUCUUUUGCUGUUUAGAUUUCUGAGCGAUAUUUGGUGACUGGUAUACAUGGUAUUCAGACAAAAUACAGAAUACUAGUUCCAAGCUGUGUUCUCAUCACCGGACUUUAGUGGCCACCUAUUUCAUUGAAACUGCUUUGAUUCAGGCAGUUGGGAUCUCUCUUUGAUGCCCUGGUUCAUAAACACUGACUUUUUGUUUAACCUUACUUUGGUCCAUCUCUAAUGAACUGAAGAAACUUUCAGUGUAUUUGCCUGAAAGAUCACUUUAUUGCAGCAGUCUUAUUUUUUUGUCAUCAAGUAACUUAAGACCAGCUUCAAAGUAACUUAUGAAUGAUUUACACAGCAUACACCUGCCUGGACUCUUCUGUAUUGUAAUUUUCUGAACUCCUGAUUUCCUGUUCUUAAUAUUUGUCAACAUUUUCUGUGAAAGACAUACUCUAAUGAGUAACCAUCCAACACACGAGGUAAACUGGGAUGAUGUUUUGGGACAAGGAAAACAAACUACAUAUAGUCUAAAGAGACACUGAAAUGCUGUUACUGAAGCAGUAAUAGAUUAAAAUUUUCCACAUGUAUUUUUCCUUUAAGCUGACUUGUGUCUAUUAAUUGCUAGUGGAUUGUUGACCUGUGCUGUGGUUUGUAUGUAUUUCUAAGAGGAAUGUAAAGAAUUUCCACAGUCCAUAUUUGGAGUAGAAUGUACAUAACUAAAUAUUGUUUAAGUAUUUUAUUUUGUAAUGUAAUUCCAAAAUUUGUUUCUGGGAAUUUAAACAGUUUUUAUUAAAGUAUAACAUGAAACUAAAUGCCUUGGUAUGCAAAUUGGGAUUAAAUUCCUGUGGUGUUUCUUGAUUUGUGUUCCCUCACCUAGAAUCCAGUUCAGUGUUUCAAGUUGUGAUCUCUUUUCUGUCAAGAACUGUGGGGUUUUGGUUUUGUGUUUUUUGUUUCAAAAAUCAUGGCUAGUUUUUCUUGAAAAUGCAGAAUUCUAAGCAUAGAAAUAGUUGCUUUUGCAAUUGCAUACUUCAGUGUUUCUUUGGAAUAAUUUCUGAUCAAAGGAAUAAAAGCUUGCGGUGCUUGCCUGAGGAAUCACAUACACAUACACAAAAAUGUAGUUGAUAACUUUUCCCACAGAGAUGUAGUAAAAACUGUUUUUGUUAUGAAUAAGGAACUUAAUUUUACUAAAGAACCUUUCUGUAAUAAAGGGGAAAAAACAAAUUAACGUACAUAAGGGGAAGUUUGGUCAGUUUACAUAACUUUAUUAUUGACCUCUUAAAUUAUUUCAUUCAAAACUACAAUUCAUUAUCUCCAUAGGGUGUUUUUCCUCCGAAUACUUCUCUUGUGUCUGACUGCAUAAAAAGUAAAUGCUGCUCUGCAUUAGUUUAAUGAUUCUGGCAUCUAAAAUUGUAUGCUUGCAUUAAUAUGCACAGCUAGAAUGAGUAAUUAUAGUACUGUAUACAUUUAGUCUUGCCUGAUUUUAUAAAAAAAUUUCUUAUCAAGUAGAUAAAUGUGGUGGUGGUAAACAUU